GCCUACAGCCAUGCUACCCUGAACAAGCUUAUCCUGUCUGAUCUCAGAAGCUAAGCAGGGUCAGGCCUGGUUAGUGCUUCCUGGUUAGUACUAGGAAGACCAGGUGCUGUAGGCA
rnacentral:rRNA from 1 species